CUUGGUCAUUUAGAGGAAGUAAAAGUCGUAACAAGGUUUCCGUAGGUGAACCUGCGGAAGGAUCAUUAAAGAGUAAGGGUGCUCAGCGCCCGACCUCCAACCCUUUGUUGUUAAAACUACCUUGUUGCUUUGGCGGGACCGCUCGGUUCCGAGCCGCUGGGGAUUCGUCCCAGGCGAGUGCCCGCCAGAGUUAAACCAAACUCUUGUUAUUAAACCGGUCGUCUGAGUUAAAAUUUUGAAUAAAUCAAAACUUUCAACAACGGAUCUCUUGGUUCUCGCAUCGAUGAAGAACGCAGCGAAAUGCGAUAAGUAAUGUGAAUUGCAGAAUUCAGUGAAUCAUCGAAUCUUUGAACGCACAUUGCGCCCCUUGGUAUUCCGAGGGGCAUGCCUGUUCGAGCGUCAUUACACCACUCAAGCUAUGCUUGGUAUUGGGCGUCGUCCUUAGUUGGGCGCGCCUUAAAGACCUCGGCGAGGCCUCACCGGCUUUAGGCGUAGUAGAAUUUAUUCGAACGUCUGUCAAUGGAGAGGACUUCUGCCGACUGAAACCUUUAUUUUUUACAGGUUGACCUCGGAUCAGGUAGGGAUACCCGCUGAACUUAAGCAUAUCAAUAAGCGGAGGA
rnacentral:rRNA from 1 species